rnacentral:rRNA from 1 species
UGCGAAUGGCUCAUUAUAUAAGUUAUAGUUUAUUUGAUAGCACCUUACUACAUGGAUAACUGUGGUAAUUCUAGAGCUAAAACAUGCUAAAAAUCCCGACUUCGGAAGGGAUGUGUUUAUUAGAUUAAAAACCAAUGCCCUUCGGGGCUACAGGGUGAUUCAUAGUAACCUCUCGAAUCGCACGGCCUUGCGCCGGCGAUGGUUCAUUCAAAUUUCUUCCCUAUCAACUUUCGAUGCGAAGGUCUUGUCUUCGCAUGGUUACAACGGGUAACGGAGGGUUAGGGCUCGACCCCGGAGAAGGAGCCUGAGAAACGGCUGCUACAUCUAAGGAAGGCAGCAGGCGCGCAAAUUACCCAAUCCCGACUCGGGGAGGUAGUGACAAUAAAUACUGAUACAGGGCUCUUUUGGGUCUUGUAAUUGGAAUGAGUACAAUUUAAAUCCCUUAACGAGGAACAAUUGGAGGGCAAGUCUGGUGCCAGCAGCCGCGGUAAUUCCAGCUCCAAUAGCGUAUAUUAAAGUUGUUGUGGUUAAAAAGCUCGUAGUUGAACCUUGGGCCUGGCUGGCCGGUCCCCCUCACCGGGUGCACUGGUCCGGCCGGGUCUUUCCCUCUGUGGAACCGCAUGUCCUUCACUGGACGUGCCGGGGAAGCAGGACUUUUACUUUGAAAAAAUUAGAGUGCUCCAGGCAGGCCUAUGCUCGAAUACAUUAGCAUGGAAUAAUGAAAUAGGACGUGUGGUUCUAUUUUGUUGGUUUCUAGGACCGCCGUAAUGAUUAAUAGGGACAGUCGGGGGCAUCAGUAUUCAAUUGUCAGAGGUGAAAUUCUUGGAUCUAUUGAAGACUAACUACUGCGAAAGCAUUUGCCAAGGAUGUUUUCAUUGAUAAGGAACGAAAGUUAGGGGAUCGAAGACGAUCAGAUACCGUCGUAGUCUUAACUAUAAACUAUGCCRACUAGGGAUCGGACGGUGUUAUUGAUUGACCCGUUCGGCACCUUUCGAGAAAUCAAAGUGCUUGGGCUCCAGGGGGAGUAUGGUCGCAAGGCUGAAACUUAAAGAAAUUGACGGAAGGGCACCACCAGGGGUGGAGCCUGCGGCUUAAUUUGACUCAACACGGGGAAACUCACCAGGUUAACUUCAACGCAGUUACACGCGCCUGGGCCUGGAAAAGUAGGGCGGGACCCUUUGGGGGACCACCCUGCUAGUACCGACUUUACCUACGUGGGGGAAGCUAUCGCCCCCUACUCAGGGCGUAGGGGCAGCACUGCGCUGCCUGUCGGUGCGACACCAGCUGGUACAGGGGACGCCUCCCGGCCCACGGGUCGGAGGCCAAUCCUGUGGCGAGUCCGCGUAGCGCCGGACCGUCGCAACGCACGCUAAGCGGUGGGCUGGCGAGAGCCGGCUUAAGGUACGUGCUAAUCCCACGGGAAACCGUGGCCGUCCUGACUAGUUCCGAGUUCACGAAGCAGGGCGGGGGCGAGCCGCUGUACAGGCGGUUCGCUCGCCGCGCGCGGGGGGGGCAACUCCCCGCGGCGACAUGCCAGACACAAUGAGGAUUGACAGAUUGAGAGCUCUUUCUUGAUUUUGUGGGUGGUGGUGCAUGGCCGUUCUUAGUUGGUGGAGUGAUUUGUCAGCUUAAUUGCGAUAACGAACGAGACCUUCUUCUGCUAAAUAGCCCGAACUG